CCCGCCCGCCGCCCGCCCAGCCCGGUGGACGCCGGGCGCGGUGAGCGCAGGGCCGAGCCCGGGGUGGGCGCUGCGGGGUGGGGGUCUCCCCGCGCGCAGCCGCCCCGGGAGCUGCCGCGGCCGAGCGGCGGGGGCCCUGCCUCGCUGCCGCCGGCCGCCCCCCCGCCGGAGCCCCGGCACGGAGCAUUGCGGAUGCGGCGCGGGGCCGGCGCGGGGCUCCGGGCGCGCUCGGGGGUCGUGAGCGCCGCGCCCCGCGCCCCCGCCCGCGCGCCCCGCCGGGGCCAUGCAGUCGCUCAUCUCGCCCGUGACCAAGGCCAUCCUGGUGGCGCUGUUCAUCUUCGCCAUUCUGCUCAUCCUGUACGUGAUCCUCUGGUACAUCUGCCGCGAUGUGGACUGCGACCACGGCAUCUGAGCGCCGCCGGCCCUGUGCCCCGCCGCGCUGAAGGGCGCCCGGGCGCCCGGCAUGGGGGCCGCGGGGCCAGCCGGCGCGCGCCCCCAGCCCGGCCCCGGGCCCCGCCGCGCGGCGCCCGCCGCCCGCGCCCCCUGCCCGUGACCUUCACGACGGACCGGACGGAGCGGGGCCUCCGAAGGGACAGAGAAACCCUGGUCGUCCUGGACUCUUCCGUUCCUCCUGUCUUCCAAGUAGAAGACAAGAUGCCGUGAGCAGAUUCCCUGCGUGGACCACGGGCGUGGCCGCGACUCUGAUGUGGCUGGAAGCAAGAUCCAAUGCCUGAGGGUCCCUGGAUGGGCCCUCCUUUGCGAAACCGGCAUGCCAUCCCAGGGGUGCAGGGUGGAGGGGGGACCCCCUGCGAGGAUCCAGCCCAUCUCCCCAUCACCCGUCUUGCGAAGCCAUCACGAGGCGGUCAGGACCCACGAGCCGGUGUCAACCUUCCCCCGGGGCGGGGGGCCAUGCUGGCAUCUACAACCUCCAUCCAUCCCCCCGGGGUGGGGGCGUUCCCACCCAGCCCCGCCCACCUGGCCCGUGCCUCCUGGGGAGUUUCAUCCGCCUCGCCCCCGCGCGCAGUGAUAACUCUCCGGGUGGGGACCCUGCCGCCCAGCGGGGCCUCCCACGGGAAGGCUCUCCGCUUACUCCCGGCUUGACGCGUCCGGAGGACAAGCAGCUUCAGAUCGCACCAUCACCGUUUCCGGCAGGCGCCGCUGCGGUCCGACCCUCCUCACGUCUCAGAUGCAGCCCCGUUCGUCUUGACAAACGCGACGCGCGCCCGGAGCUCUUCGGCUUCGUCCCGUACGUGCAGGAGAAAGACGCCCAAGGGAUCCCAGCUGCUCUCCUUGCCGACGCUCCCCACUCUGAGGGGUUUAACCCGUCUGCCGCGAGAAGACACCCGGAUGGGGAAGAAAAGAGAGUGACCCUGGAAAAUACAAGAUGCUGGGGACUUUGCAACCGGGACAAGAGGGUUCUGGGACCUCCCCCAAAACGCACCCGGUAGCGUCGUCUCUCUCUGGGACUCUCAAGGAUGCCGCAGUGAUCUUUCCACGUUGCACCAUGGAUAAGACUUGUGGGAGCCCUUCCAGGCAGCCACGGAGGACUCCGGAGCAUUUAUUGUUAUUAUUUUUUUUCCUGUCUGCUCUGUUUAAACCGAGAGGGAUCCAGGUUGACGGUGGAGGUGGGCCCCCCGCCCUGGGGGGUGCGUGUGUGUCUGUGAAUGUCCCCGCCGAUGCCGACCCCCAGCCCCCACUGACCCGUUCUCAAGCUGCUGAUGAGCGUUUUCUACGUCUACCCCCCACCCACCCCCCGCCCCCCAAGCGCUCCGUCUUUCUGUCCCGCGGGUGUGGUCUGUGGCGCCUCUGUUUUAUCUCGUCUCGUGGCUUCUGCCUGCCCCCUGCGUGGAGACGGGCAAUAAAGAGAAAAGCUAUUCCAGACAUUAUGGCUAUUCCAGAAAAUAAAAUAUUUUUGAAACCGCA
ensembl:lncRNA